UAGUGGCGCUCUGCCAUAUUGGCAGCGUGCGAGGUUAUGUUGGCUAGGCUAGGCACGUAUUUUGAUUUUGAUGUGAUGAUGUGAUUUGAUGUGAUAUGUGAUGGAAAAAGAAAUUUAUAAAAAUCAGUUAUCCAAUGGCUUCACAAGAGGAAUUAGCCGAGAAUUCUGAUAAAAUAAUUGCGCAAUAUGCUGGGAAAAGAUGGAUAAUUGUGUAAUAUGCUGGGAAAGGAUGGAAAGCGCUUGUAAGUUGCUCUGUGCAUACUUAUUUCACAAUUCAUGCUUGCAAUCCUGGUUAGAACAGGACACCAUGUCUCACUUGUCGAUUGGCCUUGAGUAUGCAAGCAAAUCACAGAGAGGAUAUACCAGAUUGAGUAUACAAGCAAAUCACAGAGAGAAUAACAGAAAUACCGCCUGAGUCACAAACUUCUACGAGAAGAAAUGGCAAUUAUUUCUUUCUUUUCCUUGAUGGCUCAAGAUAUGUAUCUUGGUUGCCUAGUUUUUCUGUCAAUGUGUCGCAUAAUAGAGUAUGUGGUAACAUCUCUACAUUGGCACAUACUAAUUCCCAAAUGGAUACUAUGACAAGACAGUUUCAGCAACUUUUCCCUCGUUAUCCUCGCAAUGUCAUCCUGAAAGAUCUUAGAAUGACUCGAUCAAUCAAAUGGACAGUUGAAUUGAAAGUAUACUUGGUGGAGUAUUUUAAUAACUAUACCGCAUCAUCAUUUAAUCGAAGAACCACAAGCAAAAUCCGUCCCACAGAUGCAAACAAGGAUGACAUAUUAUGCCCAGUUUUUCAGUCCAAAAUUUAUGGGAUUCUACAUUCGAUAUUCCAUUUGCUGAUAAGUAAUGGAGAUACAAAAAAUAAA